GUGCCAGCCGCCGCGGUAAUACGGAGGGUGCUAGCGUUGUUCGGAAUUACUGGGCGUAAAGGGCGCGUAGGCGGCCGUUUGCGUCGGAUGUGAAAGCCCGGGGCUCAACCUCGGAACGGCAUUCGAUACGGGACGGCUGGAGACCGGGAGAGGAGAGUGGAAUAGCCAGUGUAGAGGUGAAAUUCGUAGAUAUUGGCUGGAACACCGGUGGCGAAAGCGGCUCUCUGGCCCGGUUCUGACGCUGAGGCGCGAAAGCGUGGGGAGCAAACAGGAUUAGAAACCCUGGUAGUCC
rnacentral:rRNA from 1 species